rnacentral:rRNA from 1 species
UCGGGAAUUUUGGGCAAUGGGCGCAAGCCUGAUCCAGCCAUGCCGCGUGGAUGAUGAAGGCCUUAGGGUUGUAAAAUCCUUUCGCCGAGGACGAUAAUGACGGUACUCGGAGAAGAAGCUCCGGCUAACUUCGUGCCAGCAGCCGCGGUAAUACGAAGGGGGCUAGCGUUGUUCGGAUUUACUGGGCGUAAAGCGCGUGUAGGCGGGUCGUUAAGUUGGGGGUGAAAUCCCGAGGCUCAACCUCGGAACUGCCUUCAAAACUGGCGACCUGGACCUAAGUAGAGGCAAGUGGAAUUGCGAGUGUAGAGGUGAAAUUCGUAGAUAUUCGCAGGAACACCAGUGGCGAAGGCGACUUGCUGGACUUAUGGUGACGCUGAGACGCGAAAGCGUGGGGAGCAAACAGGAUUAGAUACCCGAGUAGUCCCUGAGCGGGCUGGCAAGGCGCAU